UCAUGAGCGGACCAUGUGCCAGGACUGCUAUCGCAGCAUUAGGCCCACUUCAAUGUGGAAGCUUUCUGUGUCCGAUAGCAUCGGCUCCGGCGAUCUUGCGCUGCAACCGAGGCUUAUCCAUCUGUACAUGCUUAAUACAUUCGUAGCACAGUUUAAAUGUUAACGGCAAUGACGGUCCCCAUCUUUUUACGAUGCCCCCACUUCUCUGCACGUUUUAUGCCACAUUUGAUACUGUCCUCAUCACAGUUGUACUCUAGCACUCUCAUUUCAACUUUGCUUGCAUGCUAUAGUUCCUAGUUCACCUGUAUCCUUUGAUUAAGCACUUGGUUUGAAUUCAGCAGAUCCUAUAUUAAAAUCACAGCUUCACCCAUUCAUAUUAACCUCAGGGUCUCGCCCACCACCCUGUAGGUGAAGCCUUACCCGAUGCAUGUGGAUAGGGUACUUUGCUUGUGUCCUGUGUUAUCAAAAAGGGGGCAAAACAAAAGGGAUGUGUAGAAGGAAGGCUCUGAUGCCACUUGCUGAAUCAGAACCGUGGUAGCAUCAAAUAUGAAGGCCAAUUUUAAGCAACAAGUUUUAAUGACAUCCUUCUAAGGGUAAUUGCCAUUUUAGUAUUUAUUAUAUGAUGACUAUUUCUCACUGCUUUGAUAGGAAAUUUUUCUUGUCCUGGAAUUAAACACUGAAGUGAUUCUCACCCCCUCGAUUCUCUAUUUAUUUGAAAGAUCGGGUGACCCACUAGAAAAUUUGUUUAGCUCUUCGACCUAGAGUUUUUCUAGUUAGAGUAAAUCGGAUAACACUUGUUAAACUAUAGAGGAUUUUGAUAGAACUCUCUAAAAGAGCAUCUUUUUCGGUAUGUAUACCGUAUUUAAAUGAGUUUUUGGGAAUUCUCCCUGAUAAAUUACCCAUCAAAUCUCUUUAGGCUACAAAUUUUGAACCUCUAAAGUUUCUGUUCAGGGGAAGGCCCUUUAGUUCAUGACCUUUUUGCUUGUUUUCGCCACCUGCUCAUUUCUACUUCACCCAGCCUAUCUGACUCUUUUCAGCCACAGUUCGUGAUCACUAGUUCUGCACUUGUGAUGAUGACUACAAGAUGCCCUCAUCUACAUGAUAAUAGAUAGAUGACACUCAUCGGUGCUUUUUCCUCCAGCUUUGCCUUAGGCAGGCUGAAUCUGAAGGAAAAAUGCUGAAGUAUAUAAACCAAUUGAUUGCAAAGUUCAAUAUGACAGCUGUCUAUGGUAUAGAUCUCUAGGUUUCCAAUUUGACUUUAUAUUCGAAACCGUUACCCACACUUUUGUCCAAGGCAAAAAUAAGCGGCUUCAGUGUAACAGAAGUAUUAACUGAUGAAUUAUGAAUAGCAUUUUGUUUACAAGCUCAAGCCUUUGAAUGAUGGUGAUCUCACAAGUUCUUUAGAUGGUAUCGUCACUUACUUUUACUCAUGAUUUGUGCUUUGCGGUUCGACUUCGACGCAUUCGCUGGUUGAGAGUUUCUGGAACUGGAAGAUGUGCAUGAAACUGGCCUUGUGAGUGCAAAUCGUCUAAGUUCUUGUGCUUCAAAUCUUUAACAGUUAGGCGACCUCUCAGUAAUUUGAUGAGAAUCCUUUUCUGUUUCCGAGGGCAGAGUCUUUGGGUUCUCCAGCUUUUAGCAACUCGUGGUGCGUGUGAGGGUAACUUUCUGGAUAUCGAACUUAGUUGUUUCGAUUUGCUUGAUUAUUUGAUCUGCUUUCAUUUGUCUAGAAAUAGGGAGUCUGAAACAUUUCCCAGCUUAUUCAAUGUACGACACUUGAAUGCGGAGGGUGAUAAGCUAUUCAGAGUUGUAAGUACCAAAUGAAGGCUUUGUUGUUGGAUGGAUGACUUAGUAGUUGGUAUUGACCUCAUCUCAUUAUUCAAGGGUCGAGUUUUGUCU